CCGCGGCCGAUUAGCUAGUUGGUGGGGUAAGAGCCUACCAAGGCAGAGAUCGGUAGCCGGCCUGAGAGGGCACACGGCCACACUGGCACUGAAACACGGGCCAGACUCCUACGGGAGGCAGCAGUGGGGAAUCUUGCACAAUGGGGGAAACCCUGAUGCAGCGACGCCGCGUGAGCGAUGAAGCCCUUCGGGGUGUAAAGCUCUUUCGGCAGGGAAGAUAGUGACGGUACCUGCAGAAGCAGCUGCGGCUAACUACGUGCCAGCAGCCGCGGUAAUACGUAGGCAGCAAGCGUUGUUCGGAGUUACUGGGCGUAAAGGGUGUGUAGGCGGUUCUUUAAGUUUGGUGUGAAAUCUCCCGGCUUAACCGGGAGGGUGCGCCGAAUACUGAGGGACUAGAGUACGGGAGAGGAAAGUGGAAUUCCUGGUGUAGCGGUGAAAUGCGUAGAUAUCAGGAGGAACACCGGUGGUGUAGACGGCUUUCUGGACCGUAACUGACGCUGAGACACGAAAGCGUGGGUAGCAAACAGGAUUAGAUACCCUGGUAGUCCACGCCCUAAACGAUGCAUAUUUGGUGUGGGCAGUUCAUUCUGUCCGUGCCGGAGCUAACGCGUUAAAUAUGCCGCCUGGGGAGUACAGUCGCAAGGCUGAAACUCAAAGGAAUUGACGG
rnacentral:rRNA from 1 species